GAUACUCUUACGUUCACUAGUGAGAUGCCUUUACACUCACUAGUGAGAUGCUCUUACGUUAACUAGUGAGAUACUCUUACGUUCACUAGUGAGAUACUCUUACGUUCACUAGUGAGAUGCUCUUACACUCACUAGUGAGAUACUCUUACGUUCACUAGUGAGAUGCUCUUACACUAACUAGUGAGAUGCUCUUACGUUCACUAGUGAGAUGCUCUUACACUAACUAGUGAGAUGCUCUUACGUUCACUAGUGAGAUGCUCUUACACUCACUAGUGAGAUGCUCUUACACUCACUAGUGAGAUGCUCUUACGUUCACUAGUGAGAUGCUCUUACACUCACUAGUGAGAUACUCUUACGUUCACCAGUGAGAUGUUCUUGCGCUCACUAGUGAGAUGCUCUCAUCGAUCUCCCGUCCCCACUCGGCCGGUACCGGCCCCCAUGGCUCAGACGCUUCUAGUCCCCGCUCCCUGACUCAGGCUCCCUCCCUCCCAUCCCGUGGUUCUCUCCCACCCUCCCGUUGGUGAUUUAAGGGCCGUCUGGGAUCCGGCCCUUGAGAGGGGGUUUAUGGGGGGGGCUGAGCCGGCGACUCCGGAGGUGUUCCGUGUCCCUGAGCCGGCGACGACUCCGGAGGUGUUCCGUGUCCCCGAGCCGGUGUUCCGUGUCCUCGAGCCGGCGACGACUCUGGAGGUGUUCCGUGUCCCCGAGCCGGUGUUCCGUGUCCUCGAGCCGGCGACGACUCCGGAGGUGUUCCGUGUCCCCGAGCCGGUGUUCCGUGUCCUCGAGCCGGCGACGACUCUGGAGGUGUUCCGUGUCCCCGAGCCGGUGUUCCGUGUCCUCGAGCCGGCGACGACUCCGGAGGUGUUCCGUGUCCCUGACACGACGACUCGGAGGUGUUCCGUGUCCCCGAGCCGGUGUUCCGUGUCCUCGAGCCGGCGACGACUCUGGAGGUGUUCCGUGUCCCCGAGCCGGUGUUCCGUGUCCCCGAGCCGGCGACGACUCCGGAGGUGUUCCGUGUCCCCGAGCCGGAGGUUUCCCAUGUCCCCCAGCCAGAGACUCCGGAGGUUUCCCAGCCAUUCCAUAGACGUUCAGUGCCCUGCAGUCCUGCAGCCCUCCCGGCCAACAGACCGCCCGCCAGGCCGACCCCCAGAAGCUCCCCCGCCGUCUGGCCGCCCGCCAGAGUUUCCCGUGCGGUCCGACCAAUGUCUCUGGUUUCCCUCCCUCCUGCCCCUUGUCUGCGCUCUACCAGUCUGGGGCCGUCUGGAAUUCGGCCCUUGGGGGGGGGGGGGGGUACUGUCACGGUGUGGUUUUAUUUCCUGUCUAUCUUUGUAGUUUCUGCUUCUUGUCUCCCCGGGUAACUUCACUUCCUGCCUUGUCCUGUCGUCCCCUAUGAUUGUCGAAAUGUUUCCACCUGUGUCCAAUCACCAGCACCUCCCUAGUGUAUUUAAGCCGUGUGUGUCUCUUGUCGUGUCAUUGUCUUUUGUCCUGGAUGUUUCUGGUUCCUGCCUACCUUUUCCCCUGGUUCCUGUUUGCGUUUUUUCCCCUUGGCCUUUUGCUUUUGAACAUUUGGACUAAUAAAGUCUUCUUUUGUUGCUCGAAGUCUGCGUGUGAGUCCUGCCUCUCCCCGCACCCCUGACAACUAGUGAGAUGCGCGCGAGUGUUUCAUUAGUACGCGUAAGAGUGUCUCAGUAGUGUGCGCAAGAGCAUUUCAAUAUCGACUAAUUUGACAUUUUAAUUCCAUUUAUGUAGGUCAAAAGAUAUCAUUCGAGUUUACAACAUGGAUGUUAAGUAAAACAACACCUGACAAAACUAUGCAGAUUAUCGUCCUUUUCAGCUUUGCUGUUUUGAUUGUACGAUGAGUGUGUGUUGUCUGAGCAGUGUGUAGUAGUACUGUUUUAACCCAGUAGGGGACAGUGUGAUCUCACAGCGAAGACAGGUGGACAGAUGUUUGUGCUGCUGUGGCCUGAUUCCCAGUUUCUGGCUGGCUGCCUCAGACACGCCCACAUAAUGACAGACCUGUCAGAUUUAUAACAGCAGCCGGCCUGCUCUGCACCAUGUAUGUGGUCGGGAUGCCUUCAUGUUUCUGCACGGGAAAUAAAUAGACUGGGCUGGACCCACAUGUUCUGUAAUGACAUGGCUGGGACAUUUCUGGUAACAUCAGCUCUGUAGUUUGAAUCUUCAGGUCCCGUAUAUGAAAAUUUCAGUUUCUGGAGAAUUGCUAUAAAGAAGCCAAGUGUAACAGAAGUAUAAAAGUAGUAAUUCAACAAUAUAUGUAAUCUGACAGUAUCUAAAC
ensembl:lncRNA